rnacentral:rRNA from 1 species
UACGGGGGGGGUAAGCGUUGUUCGGAAUUACUGGGCGUAAAGGGCUCGUAGGCGGCCAACUAAGUCAUACGUGAAAUCCCUCAGCUUAACUGGGGAACUGCGUGUGAUACUGGAUGGCUUGGAUUUGGGAGAGUGAUGCGGAAUUCCAGGUGUAGCGGUGAAAUGCGUAGAUAUCUGGAGGAACACCGGUGGCGAAGGCGGCGACCUGGGUGGAUACUGACGCUGAGGCGCGAAAGCGUGGGGAGCAAACAGG